CCUUGAAAGGUCUCUAUGCUCCAUGCUGUGCCUGGAUGGCACUUCUACUGUCCCAGACCAUGUUGAAGCCUGAGGUUCAUGUGGAUGUCUGAAGUCCUACAGCAGCCAGGAGCCAUGGUGAUAUCCCUGGUCUAAGGAGAGUCAGCCAAGGAUACAAGCCUGAAUCAUACUGCUGGAAUCCCAAGAACAGACCAGAAGGCAUCUGAAGAGUCAGUGGGAACUGCUUAGCUUUAGACAGCUCAUAAAACAGGAGGGUUUCUACAUAGCUCUGGCUGUAACAGAACUCACUAUGUAAAGAAGGCUGGCCUUGAACUCUCAGAGAUUCACCGGGUCUCUGCUUCCCAGAAUGCUGGGAUUAAAGAUCUCAUCUAUUGAUCCUGGACAAUGUCUACCUGCCUGCUUCUAUGCUGCCACCAAGAUGGUCAUGGACUCACUGAAACGAUAGGAGAGAAGAAGAAGAAGAAGAAGAAGAAGAAGAAGAAGAAGAAGAAGAAGAAGAAGAAGAAGAAGAAUGUGUCGGAUCAUGGGAAGAGAAGCCUUUGUUUACUGCUGACCAGGCAACUUAUAUAACACCUAUAGAAAUCAGCAUGGAGGUUCCUUAAAAUUCUGAAGCUCAUGCUCUAAGGCAUACAGCAGCCCAAGUCGACAGUGGCAAGCAGUGACUGGGAUUAGAGCAGAACCACAGAAGAGAAAUACAUGUCUAAAACUGGGUCAUGUGACUCUGGAGUCCUCAAUUUUACAUCCCUGACUUGGAAGAUGACUGACAUCUGCCAGAACAGCUCUAUUGAAGCCGUAUUUUCCUUGCUCAUACAGGCAAGGACUAUGACUGUCCAGACUCAAACAGAACUUUAACCCCACCAUUCACUUCAGAAUGGAGGCCAACUUGGUCUGCACAAACCUCUGGCUGAGCUGACUGGCAGCAGAGCUAAGCUGAGCUCAUGCUUCAUCCCUGGACUCCCAGGCUACACUACUCUGUCUUGGCGUCUGCUCUGUCAUGGGAAAGGCAUAUUUAUCAUAGACAAUUGGUGGACUCUCCACCAAAGGACCUACCUAAGGUAUCAACAAUACCCUAAUGGCACACAAAUCCUUGCCAGCCAACAUUCAGGUUUGGAACAAUGCCAAGGCCAUCCUUUGGAGCUUGUAAUGCCCUGUGGGGCAUGGCUGUUCUGCUAGGUAUGCUUCUCUGCUUUAUUGAGAUAAGCACUUGCUCUCAGAGACCUAAAGGAGGAUGUGCAGGUAUGUUUAAUAAGGGCAGUUUGAACCCAAACUAUAGGCAGAGUACCCUUUCAGUCCAUUCUGCACUUCUAGCAUCUGGUAGUCCCAUUCUUGCAAGCCCCUAGCCUCUCACUUCUCACCCUUCUUGCCCACAACAACUAUCUGAGACCCCUACCUCUGGUUUGAUUGCCACCAACCAUGGAAUUAUAAGGAUAAGCCAU
rnacentral:lncRNA from 1 species